GAAGGCGGCCUACCUGGAGCUGCCUACCGGUGCUAAUCCCAAGCUCACUGUAUAGAACUCAAAGGGACUGACUUGGGGGAUUCCAAGGAACUGCGAAGAUCUUUUUUGGCUUUUGAUAGUAAAAUUCAUUAUCAAAGAUGACUAGUCAAAGGCGCGGGAGGUUACCAGUGAGAUGCGUAGAGAACCUAUCCAGCAACAUAAGUCUAGGUAUCUCUGGUGAGUUUCCCUUCACUCACCUUUUUUAUACUCUUUACUCCAUCUUUGCUCGGUGCAUACAGCAUCCACCUUGUUACUUAUAUUUCAUAAGAUCCAGUAGAUUUUAGUGGUUAGUUUGCUGCUGAACAAUUGUGUAGUGCUAUCCAUUAAGAAUCAAGCAGAUGUCAGUUGUGAUGAUCAUCUUAUGCUAUUUUAUUUCUAUGCAAAGCCUGAUUUAUGUUCUACAUUUGAGUGGAUCCAACUUUGCUAACACAC